UACGGGGGGGAGCAAGCGUUGUUCGGAUUUACUGGGCGUAAAGGGCGCGUAGGCGGUCGUGACAAGUCACUUGUGAAAUCUCCGGGCUUAACUCGGAACGGUCAAGUGAUACUGUCGGACUAGAGUACAGAAGGGGCAACUGGAAUUCUCGGUGUAGCGGUGAAAUGCGUAGAUAUCGAGAGGAACACCAAUGGCGAAGGCAGCUCGCUGGGGGGUGUGCUGACGCUGAGACACGAAAGCCAGGGGAGCAAACGGG
rnacentral:rRNA from 1 species